CGCUGGUCACUGCUGCAAAGGUUAGGCCUAGGUACAGUUGUGUGCUGGUAAAUUUGUAACAAAAGGCUCUCCAGGGGAAGAAAAGCCCUGAUUUUCAGUGUUUGCCAAUUUCCACGGUAUUAAAAGUACUCACACCAAGGCCGGUUUUAAGCAGUGCUCCUGAAGUCCCUGAAGACAGAGUUGAAAAGCAUCGUGCACAGUUGACUCUUCUAAGCUAGUCCGAGCUGGCUCCAACACACUACUGCCUAUGCUACAAUUCUGCCGAAUUUCACUUUAAAGGACAUCUAUCCACUCCUGAAGCUGAGGACUCAAGUCAGUCCCAAUCAAAUGCCACCGUGGUGGGAAAAAUGGAAGAGAAGCUGUUUCUGUUACUAGAAGAAGGACAAAUAGAUGUUGGUCAGACAAAACAAAAGUCUAGUAUACCUGGAUAUGUUUUUGUCAAGUGACAGAGAAAUACAGUAAUCUUUCAUCAACAUCUCAUUUUUUGACAUGAAAUUCUACUUUACCCCAGUUUACUUUAGUUUAACCUUUCUAUGCCCUGGCAGAUUUAGGACUUGACAUAAACCUGUAUUUCCAGUCACUUAUCUUGGUGAUAAUUGGAGAGAUAAUUAAACACCAGCAUAGAAAAAUGGGGAUAAAGUGUGCUGUAGAGCAGGAACUGAACUAUUUAGGAAAAACUUAUGAAACAUAAGAAAUGCUAAACUCUACCUUAGAGAUCUUCCAACGUCAUUAAAAGCAAGUGGUGUAUCAAAAAGAUUGAUGAUGUCUGCUUUGGGGUGACUUGACCUUAGAU
rnacentral:lncRNA from 1 species